CAUGCAAGUCGAACGGUAACAUUUACUAGCUUGCUAGAAGAUGACGAGUGGCGGACGGGUGAGUAAUGCUUGGGAACUUGCCUUUGCGAGGGGGAUAACAGUUGGAAACGACUGCUAAUACCGCAUAAUGUCUUCGGACCAAACGGGGCUUCGGCUCCGGCGCAAAGAGAGGCCCAAGUGAGAUUAGCUAGUUGGUAAGGUAACGGCUUACCAAGGCGACGAUCUCUAGCUGUUCUGAGAGGAAGAUCAGCCACACUGGGACUGAGACACGGCCCAGACUCCUACGGGAGGCAGCAGUGGGGAAUAUUGCACAAUGGGGGAAACCCUGAUGCAGCCAUGCCGCGUGUGUGAAGAAGGCCUUCGGGUUGUAAAGCACUUUCAGUUGUGAGGAAAAGUUAGUAGUUAAUACCUGCUAGCCGUGACGUUAACAACAGAAGAAGCACCGGCUAACUCCGUGCCAGCAGCCGCGGUAAUACGGAGGGUGCGAGCGUUAAUCGGAAUUACUGGGCGUAAAGCGCACGCAGGCGGUUUGUUAAGCUAGAUGUGAAAGCCCCGGGCUCAACCUGGGAUGGUCAUUUAGAACUGGCAGACUAGAGUCUUGGAGAGGGGAGUGGAAUUCCAGGUGUAGCGGUGAAAUGCGUAGAUAUCUGGAGGAACAUCAGUGGCGAAGGCGACUCCCUGGCCAAAGACUGACGCUCAUGUGCGAAAGUGUGGGUAGCGAACAGGAUUAGAUACCCUGGUAGUCCACACCGUAAACGCUGUCUACUAGCUGUGUGUGUCUUUAAGACGUGCGUAGCGAAGCUAACGCGCUAAGUAGACCGCCUGGGGAGUACGGCCGCAAGGUUAAAACUCAAAUGAAUUGACGGGGGCCCGCACAAGCGGUGGAGCAUGUGGUUUAAUUCGAUGCAACGCGAAGAACCUUACCUACACUUGACAUGCUGAGAAGUUACUAGAGAUAGAUUCGUGCCUUCGGGAACUCAGACACAGGUGCUGCAUGGCUGUCGUCAGCUCGUGUCGUGAA
rnacentral:rRNA from 1 species